GAUGAACGCUGGCGGCGUGCCUAAUACAUGCAAGUCGAGCGAAUGGAUUAAGAGCUUGCUCUUAUGAAGUUAGCGGCGGACGGGUGAGUAACACGUGGGUAACCUGCCCAUAAGACUGGGAUAACUCCGGGAAACCGGGGCUAAUACCGGAUAACAUUUUGAACCGCAUGGUUCGAAAUUGAAAGGCGGCUUAGGCUGUCACUUAUGGAUGGACCCGAGUAGCGUUAGCUAGUUGGUGAGGUAACGGCUCACCAAGGCAACGAUGCGUAGCCGACCUGAAAGGGUGAUCGGCCACACUGGGACUGAGACACGGCCCAGACUCCUACGGGAGGCAGCAGUAGGGAAUCUUCCGCAAUGGACGAAAGUCUGACGGAGCAACGCCGCGUGAGUGAUGAAGGCUUUCGGGUCGUAAAACUCUGUUGUUAGGGAAGAACAAGUGCUAGUUGAAUAAGCUGGCACCUUGACGGUACCUAACCAGAAAGCCACGGCUAACUACGUGCCAGCAGCCGCGGUAA
rnacentral:rRNA from 1 species